rnacentral:rRNA from 1 species
CAAUAGCGUAUAUUAAAGUUGUUGCGGUUAAAAGCUCGUAGUUGGAUUUCUGCUGAGGACGAUCGGUCCGCCCUCUGGGUGAGCAUUGACUCGGCCUUGGCAUCUUCUUGGAGAACGCUACUGUACUUGACUGUGUGGUGCGGUAUCCAGGACUUUUACUUUGAGGAAAUUAGAGUGUUUCAAGCAGGCGCACGCCUUGAAUACAUUAGCAUGGAAUAAUAAGAUAGGACCUUGGUUCUAUUUUGUUGGUUUCUAGAGCUGAGGUAAUGAUUAAUAGGGAUAGUUGGGGGCAUUCGUAUUUAACUGUCAGAGGUGAAAUUCUUGGAUUUGUUAGAAUACAUUAGCAUGGAAUAAUAAGAUAGGACCUUGGUUCUAUUUUGUUGGUUUCUAGAGCGUGAGGUAAUGAUUAAUUAGGGAUAGUUGGGGCGAUUCGUAUUAACUGUCAGAGGUGGAAAUUCGUUGGAUUUGUUAAAGACGGACUACUGCGAAAGCAUUUGCCAAGGAUGUUUUCA